rnacentral:misc_RNA from 1 species
CUUUCCCUUUGUGCCGUUUCUCAUACAGGCUGGUCGGGUCAGACGUAUCGCGUGUUAUCAGCGGACAGCGAGCCACACAACGUCCGCGCAUGGACGAGCCUCGUUUGCGUGCGCGCGCACGCGAGCGUGUCUUCCGUUUUGCGAGUAUGUCGCUGGCCUCGUGUGUCCGUUCGUUCCCGCAAGAUAUGAGUGGAACACAAAUUCGAAAGACUCUUCUGGUGAUGUGGUAGAGGGAUAACAGUUGUUUUUGUAACGAUGACCCAUACGAUAAUUAGGAGCACCGAUGCGUCAUCCUAGAUUCUUGAACUAGAGUUUCCUAUUUCUCCAAAGGAAUCAGCCGGUUCACCGCAUUAAGAGCGGUGAUCUUUGAUUGCCUCUGCAGAACUCGUGCCGCGCAUGUCCAACGAAGCUUCCAAAACCUCAAAAUAUUUUCUGCCAAGAAAAAUUCAUCAAACCCCCUUCCUCGACGAUAUUUUCCGUUGCUACGGCGAAACGCGACUAACCAUUUGAUUAUGCACUCUAGCUUGAUAAAUUAUGGACAUCCGUAUCGUGCAUCAAAUUGAUUUCGUAAUAAUUGAGCAUGUAUUUGAAAAUCCAAUACUUUACCGAUAUACACGAAAAAUAAUCUAAACGGAAAUUAUAAAUUAAAAGCAACGUUAUGUUUCUCUUAUUCGAAUAAUAAAAUGAAAUAGUAAAAUAUUUUUAAGAUUGAAUGUAAGAAACCAAGUUAAAAAGAUGUUUACAUGAAAAAUGCUACAAUUUCUGAAUGUAAAUGAAAAAUAACAAAAAUGAUCAAUAUAAUCCUCAUUUAUUAAUAUCUGUUAUGUAAAUUAAAAAUGAAGUUAUUAUCUUCUGUUUGAAUAAUAAUAUAAAAUAAUUUUAAGAUUAAAUGUAAGAAACAGACC